rnacentral:rRNA from 1 species
CAGUAGCCGCGGUAAUACGUAGGGGGCAAGCGUUAUCCGGAAUUACUGGGUGUAAAGGGAGCGUAGACGGUUAAACAAGUCUGAAGUGAAAUGCCGGGGCUCAACCCCGGAGCUGCUUUGGGAACUGUAGAACUGGAGUGUCGGAGGGGUAAGCGGAAUUCCCAGUGUAGCGGUGAAAUGCGUAGAUAUUGGGAGGAACACCAGUGGCGAAGGCGGCUUUCUGGACUGUAACUGACGCUGAGGCUCGAAAGCCAGGGGAGCGAACGGGAUUAGAUACCCCCGUAGUCCCUGUCUCUUAUAC